UUCUUCAUAGGGUUUUGAGAAGACUGAGGCAAUCAUUGCUGAAGUCAGUGUUGUAAUGGUGAAUCGGGAUUUUUAAUGAAGUGGGUUUGAUUACUCUUGACUGUUUUGUGAAAUCGAGUUACGUCUGUGAUGAAGAAUUAAAAGGGUGUCUAUAGGAUUGAGUAUGCGGAGUGAAUGAAACUUAUUGGGUUAAUCUAAGGAGACAGUCGGUGGAUACAAGAUCGUUAGUAUAAAGCGGUAUCGAAGAUUA
rnacentral:lncRNA from 1 species